AACGCACAUUGCACCCUCUGGUAUUCCGGGGGGUAUGCCUGUUCGAGCGUCAUUUCAACCCUCAAGCCCAGCUUGGUAUUGGGUGUCACCUGGUAAUGGUGUACCUUAAAAUCAGUGGCGGUGCUAUCUGGCUUCAAGCGUAGUAAAACAAUCGCUUUGGAGGUUUGGAUAUGUUGCUUGCUAUCAACCCCCUAAUUUAUUCGAAGGUUGACCUCGGAUCAGGUAGGGAUACCCGCUGAACUUAA
rnacentral:misc_RNA from 1 species